GUUUCAGAUUAAUUUUGUGACCGUGCACCUCAAGCGACAGCAUAUGACAUGAGAGAACGAAAAAAACCAUAAGUUAAGCUAAAAACACCUGAACAGCUCAUCAAAACAAGUCACCUAUAGACAUCUACAUUAACCUGAGACUAACCCCGUCAUUAUGGUCAACUCCACUCUGCAUCUGCCGACGUAUGCGCCGAGCCACUGGGCAAACUGGUAACAUCGGAAAAGCCGUCCACAUGGAGCGAUUCACUGCAAAAUCAAUCAAUGGAGCCACAGGAGGAGCUCUGCUGACACUCCAGACACACUGACGGCGAGAAAACAUUCACACACCAUGACAAAUGCAGGAUUUUACUGAAAAAACAGCAGCUGACACGGGGAAAACAGUGUUUUUAUUACGCGUCAUCAGUCAGCCAUAUUGGAGAGCAGAAUGUAAACAAUAACUCUGAGCGAAACAUGCAUAUAUUGCUGAUUAUUAGCGGUGAAGAUGAUCAGUUAUUAGCUGUGUUUCCGUCUGAAGAUGUGCAUUAUAUUUAUGUGCAAGCUGGAAUUUUGCAUUAAGCAUUUGUGAAUAAAGCAACGCUUACAUCCAA